ACUCCUACGGGAGGCAGCAGUGGGGAAUAUUGCACAAUGGGCGCAAGCCUGAUGCAGCCAUGCCGCGUGUGUGAAGAAGGCCUUGGGUUGUAAAGCACUUUCAGUCGUGAGGAAGGUGGUAGUGUUAAUAGCACUAUCAUUUGACGUUAGCGACAGAAGAAGCACCGGCUAACUCCGUGCCAGCAGCCGCGGUAAUACGGAGGGUGCGAGCGUUAAUCGGAAUUACUGGGCGUAAAGCGCAUGCAGGUGGUUUGUUAAGUCAGAUGUGAAAGCCCGGGGCUCAACCUCGGAAUAGCAUUUGAAACUGGCAGACUAGAGUACUGUAGAGGGGGUAGAAUUUCAGGUGUAGCGGUGAAAUGCGUAGAGAUCUGAAGGAAUACCGGUGGCGAAGGCGGCCCCUGGACAGAUACUGACACUCAGAUGCGAAAGCGUGGGAGCAAACAGGAUUAGAUACCCCUGGUAGACUGUCA
rnacentral:rRNA from 1 species